rnacentral:rRNA from 1 species
AAACGUUAUUCGGAAUCACUGGGCUUACAGAGUUCGUAGGCGGUCUGGAAAGUUGGGUGUGAAAUCCCUCGGCUCAACCGAGGAACUGCGCUCAAAACUACCCGACUCGAGGGAGAUAGAGGAAAGCGGAACUGAUGGUGGAGCGGUGAAAUGCGUUGAUAUCAUCAGGAACACCGGUGGCGAAGGCGGCUUUCUGGGUCUUACCUGACGCUGAGGAACGAAAGCUAGGGGAGCGAACGGG